UACAGAGGGGGCAAGCGUUAUUCGGAAUUAUUGGGCGUAAAGGGCGCGUAGGCGGCUUGGCAAGUGGAUGGUGAAAUCCCUCGGCUUAACCGAGGAACUGCCGUCCAAACUGCUUCGCUUGAGACCGGGAGAGGUGAGUGGAAUUCCCAGUGUAGCGGUGAAAUGCGUAGAUAUUGGGAGGAACACCAGUGGCGAAGGCGGCUCACUGGGCCGGUACUGACGCUGAUGCGCGAAAGCGUGGGGAGCAAACGGG
rnacentral:rRNA from 1 species